UCUAUCAUUCCCAAUUUCAAACCCUCUCAAAAAUGAGGCAUUUAUUUUCCCCAAAAUAACCUUCCUGUUUGAUAUUUCGUCUCUUUGGUCUAAUUCUAUUGCUGGGUGUUCUUCACUUUGGCUUCUAUUUCUUCCUUUUGCCGAGGUGUCUUCAAUGUCGGAAAUCUGGAAACAACAGAAUUGCUGCGGGAGAGAGGGACACACAAGGUGAAAAAAGAAAUUGUCAAAACCAUAUGCGGAUGCACCCUAUGUACUCCAGUCAAGUGUACUUCACAUUAGUUGGCUUUUGGAGGCAUGUUCAGCUGUUGCAGAGUUGCUCGACAUGCAGCUGAUGAGCUCACAGGCAGAGUGAAGGAAAGAGAAGGUGGUCUGAUGGGAUUCAUCAGCCUGUGGAGGCUAAAGAAUGUUUGAAGAUUCAGGUAUAUAUUUUUGACAGUUGGUGCGUGAAGUUCUUUUUUCUUCUUCUGUAUCUUGUCUCAAUCACCAUUCAUUGAAGUGCCAACAUAUGUGGCAAACAUUCUCAAUGUUUUUCCUAUUCAAAAGCUUUAGGAUAUUUAGUAUAUUUUUCUUUUUCUCACUUUUAUCUGAUAUCCAUACUUGUAUGGAAGUGCUUUCAACUUGAAAUAUAUUUUUAAGUAAAUAUAUUGGCCAACUUCAUGUUUUGAGUUUGCAGAGGUCAGCAAUGUAACUAUCUCUCAAGUUUUUAAUGCAAUCUCGACUGUUUUGGUUAUUCCCGGUAGGCCAGUACUGAGAUUGAUAGGGAGAAGUUGUACAUUCACUUGUUUGU